rnacentral:rRNA from 1 species
AUUGAACGCUGGCGGCAGGCCUAACACAUGCAAGUCGAGCGAGAGGCGGAAGGGUGAGGAAUGUAUGGGGACUGCCCGAUAGAGGGGGAGAACUACUGGAAACGGUAGAUAAUACCGCAUACUAUCGGAUAACCCAUAUGGGAUUAGCUAGUAGGUGAGGUAAUGGCUCACCUAGGCGACGAUCCCUAGCUGGUCUGAGAGGAGAAUCAGCCACACUGGGCCUGAGACACGGCCCAGACUCCUACGGUGGCAGCAGUGGGGAAUAUUGCACAAUGGGCGCAAUCAUGAUGCAGCCAUGCCGCGGUUAUGAAGAAGGCCCUAGGUUUGUAAAGUACUUUCAGUCGUGAGGCGUUACCGACAGAAGAAGCACCGGCUAACUCCGUGCCAGCAGCCGCGGUAAUAC